rnacentral:rRNA from 1 species
GUCGAGAAUCUUUCGCAAUGCCCGAAAGGGUGACGAAGCGACGCCGCGUGUGGGAAGAAGGCCUUCGGGUUGUAAACCACUGUCGGGAGUUAAGAAAUGCAAGGGUGUUAAUAGCGCCCUUGCUUGACUAAGGCUCCGGAGGAAGCCACGGCUAACUCUGUGCCAGCAGCCGCGGUAAUACAGAGGCGGCAAGCGUUGUUCGGAAUUAUUGGGCGUAAAGAGCACGUAGGCGGCCUUGUAAGUCAGUUGUGAAAGCCUUCUGCUCAACGGAAGAACAGCAUCUGAUACUGCAAGGCUAGAGUGCGGAAGGGGAGAGUGGAACUUCUGGUGGAGCGGUGAAAUGCGUAGAUAUCAGAAGGAACACCGGCGGCGAAGGCGACUCUCUGGUCCGUAACUGACGCUGAGUGUGCGAAAGCUAGGGGAGCAAACGGGAUUAGAUACCCUGGUAGUCC